rnacentral:rRNA from 1 species
UGGGUCCCAAUCGUUUAGGGRGAAAAAAUUAGAGUGUUCAAAGCAGGCAGAUCCAAUUUUCUGCCACCGAAUACAUUAGCAUGGGAUAAUGGAAUAGGACCCUGUCCUCCUAUUUUCAGUUGGUUUGCCGCGAGGACCAGGGUAAUGAUUAAUAGGGAUAGUUGGGGGCAUUAAUAUUUAAUUGUCAGAGGUGAAAUUCUUGGAUUUAUGAAAGAUUAACUUCUGCGAAAGCAUCUGCCAAGGAUGUUUUCAUUAAUCAAGAACGAAAGUUAGGGGAUCGAAGACGAUCAGAUACCGUCGUAGUCUUAACCAUAAACGAUGCCGACCAGCGAUUAGGAGACGUUGAAUACAAAACACCACCAUGCGCAUUGCGGUCGUCUUUGGG